rnacentral:rRNA from 1 species
GACGAACGCUGGCGGCGUGCUUAACACAUGCAAGUCGAACGGAAAGGCCCUGCUUUUGUGGGGUGCUCGAGUGGCGAACGGGUGAGUAACACGUGAGUAACCUGCCCUUGACUUUGGGAAAACUUCAGGAAACUGGGGCUAAUACCGGAUAGGAGCUCCUGCUGCAUGGUGGGGGUUGGAAAGUUUCGGCGGUUGGGGAUGGACUCGCGGCUUAUCAGCUUGUUGGUGGGGUAGUGGCUUACCAAGGCUUCGACGGGUAGCCGGCCUGAGAGGGUGACCGGCCACAUUGGGACUGAGAUACGGCCCAGACUCCUACGGGAGGCAGCAGUGGGGAAUAUUGCACAAUGGGCGGAAGCCUGAUGCAGCAACGCCGCGUGCGGGAUGACGGCCUUCGGGUUGUAAACCGCUUUCGCCUGUGACGAAGCGUGAGUGACGGUAAUGGGUAAAGAAGCACCGGCUAACUACGUG